AGAGCAUUUGAUGGAUGCCUUGGCGCUAGAAGGCGAUGAAGGACGUAAUACGCUGCGAUAAGCUCCGGGAAGCUGCGAAUAAGCUUUGAUCCGGAGAUUUCCGAAUGGGGAAACCCACUCUUCAUGAGUAUUGUAAGGUGAAUAUAUAGCUUUACAAGGCAAACUCAGCGAACUGAAAUAUCUAAGUAGCUGAAGGAAAGGACAUCAACCGAGACUCCGUUAGUAGUGACGAGCGAACACGGACCAGGCCAGUAGAUAAAGUAUAAGAAUUAGAAAAGUUUGGGAAAACUUGCCAAAGAAGGUGAUAGCCCUGUAUAAGUAUCUUAUACUUUAUUUCUAGAGUAGAGCGGGACACGAGAAAUCCUGUUUGAAUAUAGGGGGACCACCCUCUAAGCCUAAGUACUCUCUAGCGACCGAUAGUGAACAAGUACCGUGAGGGAAAGGUGAAAAGAACCUCUAACGAGGAGUGAAAUAGAUUCUGAAAUCAAAUGCUUACAAUCAGUCGGAGCAGACUUGAUCUGUGACGGCGUACCUUUUGUAUAAUGGGUCAGCGAGUUAGUUUAUCGAGCAAGCUUAAGCCGUUAGGUGUAUGCGUAGCGAAAGCGAGUCUGAAUAGGGCGUAUUAGUUCGAUGAAUUAGACCCGAAACCGAGUGAUCUAGCCAUGGCCAGGUUGAAGAUAGAGUAAAAUCUAUUGGAGGACCGAACCCACUAAUGUUGCAAAAUUACGGGAUGAGCUGUGGCUAGGGGUGAAAGGCCAAUCAAACUCGGAUAUAGCUGGUUCUCCGCGAAAACUAUUUAGGUAGUGCGUCCGUGUGUUUACCAUUGAAGGUAGAGCACUAGAUGAGCUAGGGGGUCACAAGCUUACCGAACUCAACUAAACUCCGAAUGUCAAUGAGUAUAGCCGGGCAGACAGACUAUGGGUGCUAAGGUCCAUAGUCGAGAGGGAAACAGCCCAGAUCGCCAUCUAAGGUCCCAAAAUUAUGGCUAAGUGUGAAAGGAUGUGGAGAAACCAUGACAGCUAGGAGGUUGGCUUAGAAGCAGCCAUCCUUUAAAGAAAGCGUAAUAGCUCACUAGUCUAAAUAAGUUUCUCUGCGCCUACGAUGUAACGGGGCUAAGUCAUGUACCGAAGAUGCGAAUUUAUAUCUUAUUUAAGAUAUAAGUGGUAGCGGAGCGUUCCGUAAGCCUAUGAAGAUAGACCGUGAGGAUCUAUUGGAGGUAUCGGAAGUGAGAAUGCUGACAUGAGUAGCAAAAAAGAAUGUGAGAAACAUUCUCGCCGAAAGUCCAAGGUUUCCUGCGUAAAGAUAAUCUCCGCAGGGUUAGUCGGCCCCUAAGGUGAGGCUGAAAGGCGUAAUCGAUGGGAAUCAGGUUAAUAUUCCUGAACCUGAAGGUAGUGACGAAUAUUGAGAGUUGUACAUGCUUAAUGGAUUGUAUGUGCGGCUUGAAGUGUUCCAGGAAAUAGCUCCUUCACAAAGACCGUACCCCAAACCAACACAGGUGGACAGGUAGAGUAUACUAAGGCGUAUGAGAUAACAAUACUGAAGGAACUAGGCAAAUUGCAUCCGUAACUUCGGAAGAAGGAUGGCCUAAUAUGGGCAACCAUAUCUAGGCGGCACAUAACAGGGGGUAGCGACUGUUUAUUAAAAACACAGGACUCUGCAAAAUCAAUAGAUGAAGUAUAGGGUCUGACGCCUGCCCGGUGCUGGAAGAUUAAAAGGAGGGGUGCAAGCUCUGAAUUGAAGUCCCAGUAAACGGCGGCCGUAACCUUGACGGUCCUAAGGUAGCGAAAUUCCUUGUCGGGUAAGUUCCGACCUGCACGAAUGGCGUAACGACUUCCCCGCUGUCUCCAGUAUUGACUCAGCGAAAUUGAAUUCUCCGUGAAGAUGCGGAGUUCCCGCGGUUAGACGGAAAGACCCCGUGAACCUUUACUACAGCUUUGUAUUGAUAUCAUAAUUUGUAUGUGCAGAAUAGGUGGGAGGCUAAGAACUAGAAGCGCCAGCUUUUAUGGAGCCACCUUUGAGAUACCACCCCUGCAAUUUAUGAUCUCUAACUGAGGUCCAUGAAUCUGGAUCCAAGACAAUGCAUGGUGGGUAGUUUGACUGGGGCGGUCGCCUCCUAAAGAGUAACGGAGGCGUGCGAAGGUUAGCUCAGGUUGGUCGGAAAUCAACUUUAAGAGUAUAAUGGCAUAAGCUAGCCUGACUGCAAGUCUGACAAGACGAGCAGAGACGAAAGUCGGUCAUAGUGAUCCGGUGGUUCUGUGUGGAAGGGCCAUCGCUCAACGAAUAAAAGGUACUCCGGGGAUAACAGGCUAAUGAUUCCCAAGCGUUCACAGCGACGGAAUCGUUUGGCACCUCGAUGUCGGCUCAUCACAUCCUGGGGCUGGAGAAGGUCCCAAGGGUUCGGCUGUUCGCCGAUUAAAGUGGUACGUGAGCUGGGUUUAGAACGUCGUGAGACAGUUCGGUCCCUAUCUGCCGUGGGCGUUGGAGAUUUGAGAGGGCCUAUCUUUAGUACGAGAGGACCGAGAUGGACGUACCACUGGUGUACCAGUUGUUAUGCCAAUAGCAUUGCUGGGUAGCUAAGUACGGAAGAGAUAACCGCUGAAAGCAUCUAAGCGGGAAGCUUGCCUCAAGAUUAGAUCUCCCUAUGAGGGCCGUGAGAGACCAUCACGUUGAUAGGCUAGGUGUGUAAGCAUGGUAACGUGUUCAGCUAACUAGUACUAAUAGCCCCACAGGUUUUU
rnacentral:rRNA from 1 species